UCCACUCCCCAACGGGUCUACCAUUUUACAUUUUACAAAAGGAUCAUCUUCCAGGACACCAUUUGGAGCCCAAGUACAACAGUUAUUGAUGGCAACAGUAGGAGGAGGAAAAAGAGGAAAGGAAGGAGGAAGUCAGGGAGGGAGUAAAUGAGAUGUUGCUGUAAUGAAAUCAGCUUUCAUAAAGAGAUGACACUUUCCACAGGUAAUGUUACGGCCAUGUUUCAAUUGUGUGAUUUUGCAUAUGAUUAAGGAUUUAUACCUGGUCUCCAGCAUUCUCCGGACCAAUUCCAACUUUGCCACUUACUGUCUUGCAGGGCCUUGCGCCACGUCCUUAGCCUCAGCUUUCUACUUGCUAAAAUGGAAAUAACAACAGUACCUACCUUACAGACCUGGCGUGAGGAUUAAAUUAUACCAGCAAAGUGCCUGGCACCUAGAAUUUGCCUGAGUUCUGAUCAAUGCUAAAAACACCAUUUAACAGUGCCCUUUCCUGCCUGGGAAGCCCACAAAGAUUUCGCUUUUCACUUAUUACUCAUCAAACUGACUCUGGUUCACAGUGGAAAAGAGAAGAAAAGCUGAUGGAGAAAUGGCAGUGAAGAAGGAGAACAAAAUGUCAGAGCAAUACUUUUGAGCGACUAUAUCCUUUUCAUUAAAGGUGUCAACACGUUUAUUUGCAUCUUUGACCCUAGGACUAGGGAAGUGCUGGAAAUUAUGUGGGUACUUUUUCCCAUGGGAAAAAUGUACCUCCUGGGUCGGGGGAAGGCUGAAAAUAGGUGAAAGUGAGAAUACUCAGUUGAUCUUCAAUUUUUUUUGUCUUAUAAUUAAAAAAGUGCUGUUGAAAGGAAUAGGGUUGCAUUUCACCUAGAAUCAGUGCCAAGUAUCAACAGCUAAUGUCUGUCUUUUGAAGAAAGAAUCUUUCAUACCAUGGGGGUUUUAAAGCUACUGAUAAAACAAAAAGCUAUUUUCUGAAGACCAGCCAACCUGAAAAACAAGUGUUUUAAAACCUAGAGAAUUUCCUUUAAUGUAAAUAAUCAAAGAUGUUUUCAAUUAUUUUGCUAUUACUUACAUACAAUGGUUUUACGUUUAUGAGAAGUGCUAUCCCUGAAAUAACAAUAAUAUGAUCAUUUAUAAGUGGGGUGUGGAAAAAUAACACAAGCAUACAGAAAACCAGGAAGGAAUUUUUCCAGUAAAAAUUAAGCAAUAUUCACCACAAUUGGCUCACAUUGUGGAACUGGGAAGAACAAGAAAAUAAUAAAAAGAAAAAUAAAUCUUUACUGAAAUGUAGUGAUAGUGUUUCACUCGCAACCGCUUCUUCAAAUUGAGAUGCAGAAGAAAUGUGUAAAAAGCAAAACUGGUACAAAUCUUGAUUACAAUUUUGGAUCAGUUUAAGACAAUAUGGCUCAACAGAGCAAUUUACAUAGGCUAACAGAGCAAACUUGAGUUGGUAAUUUACUUUAUUGGAUACACAUUUCACCUACAAAAAAAAAAAAAGAAAGGAGGGAGGCAGGAACAA
rnacentral:lncRNA from 1 species